GGGGGUGUGGCGCAGUUUGGGAGCGCGCUUGAAUGGCAUUCAAGAGGGCCCGGGUUCGAACCCCGGCAGCGCCA
rnacentral:tRNA from 1 species